rnacentral:piRNA from 1 species
GCAGUCGCUUAGUGAUGUGGACAGGAGUCG